UUUGAUUUAAGGUUUGGUUUAGGGUUUGAUUAGGGUUUGAUUUAGGGUUUGGAUUAGGGUUUAGGAUUGGAUUAGAAUUUGGAUUAGGAUUUAGGGUUUGAUUUAGGGUUUGAUUUAGGGUUUGGUUUAUGAUUUAGGGUUUGAAAUAGGGUUUGAUUUAGGAUUUAAUUUAAGGUUUGUUUAGGAUUUGACUUAGGGUUUAGGAUUUAUUAGGGUUUAAGAUUUAAUUAGGUUUGGUCUAAAGUUUGAGUAAAAUUCAAUAGGAUUUUAACUAGAAUUAAAUUAAGGUUGAAUUGACAUAUAUUUGAGUAAUAUUUGUGAUCAUUUUAAUAUUUCUUUAAAAAAUUUAUUGUUUGUUUGAAAUUUCUUUGAGUUGUUUUGAAUUUGAAUACGUUUGUUUACCAUUAUUAUAGUCUAAUUAGAGCAUUGUUAAUAUUCUAUUAGAAUUAGGAUUUUGUUAUCAUAAUUUCUAUUCUUUCUUCUACAGCCAGGUGCCCAGAGCAUUCUCAAGCAAGACUUCACACAUUAUGACAACGUUGGUACUAUGCCCUUGAUGAUU
rnacentral:lncRNA from 1 species